rnacentral:tRNA from 1 species
AGAGGGUUGUGUUUGUUUUCGCUGCUAACGGAAAUUUGAAUCUUUAUUGGAUUCGACUCUCUU